CCCGAAGAGUGACGAGAAGACCACACUUUACAUCUUUCUUUCAAAAGAGGAGAACGCGCUCAUAGAAAAAAAAAAAAGAUCCUCGCGCGGACGCGGAACCAGUGGCACGUCCUUUAGCUGCUGCGGUCCGGUACGGGGAAAGAAGUUCGGACAUAUUCUAUAUAGGAAGCGCUCCUUGCCUGAAGAAUAGGCGUCUUUCAUACCUUUUAACAGUUAGAACGGGC